GGAGCAGGCUGGAGGGUGUGAGGAGAGAAAGCACCUGUGAUGAAAGAGCCAGGUCUGCACCUGUGGGGGUCACGCCAGGGAGCCACUACUUUCCCUAGGGAGAGGUUGAGAACCACUUUAAUGUACUGUAAAAAUGAAAUGUGCAAGGCACUGUGGUCAGUGGAGGACUGGAAAUGCAUAUGACACCCACAUCAAUAACAAUCCAGGGUAAGAUGGGGCAUGUGCUCUUAGGGAGUGUAAUACCUGAGCUGUAUCUUCCAAGAAAGGAAGCAGUCCAUCUGGUGGGGCACCACAGGGCUUGCUGCAGGCUGAGGAAGCCCGCUAGCCAGGGCUCCGUACCCAUGGCUGGGAUUUGAAUAGCCCUUAUAGUUUAACAAGCGUCUUUUCUAACACUAGUGUAUUUAAUGCUCACAGCAUCCCUGGGCUGUCAGCACAGUAACUAUCCCCAUGCUAUCAGAUGGAGAAUCUGAGACGGGGAAGAGGUUAACCGACUAGCCUAAGGUUGGUCUGGCCCUCUGGUCUGACCCUGCUUAUUGAAGGAGGGCAGAGUGAGGGUCAGCAAAGGAUCUGAGACACAAAAGUAAGAUUUCCCCACUUCGCUUUCUGUAGAUUACAUCCCAGAGAUGGUGAGAGAAGCAGCUGCUGCCUGUGAACAAAGGAAGACAAUUAUUUUUCUUAUAUGAUUUCCUUAGGUGAUAUUUAUGCCAGGUAAAUGGUCUAAGGGUUUUAUUGUUCAAUAGAGUAUAGGGGUAAGGAAUUGAUAGAAUGCCAUUGAGUUAAAAGAACAAGGGAUCUCAAUUUUCUAGAUAAAAUCAUGCUACUCUACCAUUGAGACCAUUUGCCUGGCUUUUCUUCUCUUUAUGUGAUUUUUGCACUCAGGGAGUUUACAGUCUUGAGGCUGGAGGAAGUACACACGUGGUCACUGCACAGAUCUUGGGACCUGGGGCGCAACGCACCCAAAAAGGAGUAGCUCUUGGCUGCCUCCAGGCUUUCUUGAAAACUGAAGUUCACUCAGCCUUGCCAGGUGUGACCUGAAGAUUAACGCUCCGGGGCAACCCUAUCCUGUGGCGGGAAGUUGUUCCCUCUUCAGUUUGAACAAUGCCCAGGCACAUUCCACAUGGUUCCUUAGAGGAUUCCCGUGGGAUUGAAGCCCCCUUGCUCAAGGUGGAAGCCGCUUUAUGAUGCCCCCUUGUUGGCUUCCCUUCCUUCCCCUCUUGCAUCCUGUCCUCUCUCAUUUCUGCUUUCUGGUGCCACCCUCCAAAUAAACUACCUGCACGGAUGUCCUUGACCCAGGCUCCGCUUUUUUGGGGAACCCAGACCAAACACACACACAAACACACACUUGUUUUUCUAGAAAAGCUUGCUCUACAAGACAGGAAAAUGGCGCCACGUAGGUGACGCAUGCCUCAAGUCUUCCAUGACCUCAUAGGAGCUGGGCCUUGCAGGAUGUUGCGGUGGGCACCUAGGCUUUGUGGGGGAGGAGAGACUCAUCUGUCGGAUUGGGGACUUCGGGGAGCACCAAAGGAGGGCCAUUCUAGGAGACGUGGAGUCUUGUGUGCAGAAGCUGGGGGUUUUGGAAAAGAGCUGAAAGAAUGGGCUGCUUGGCUGACUGGAUGUUAGACUUGGGGGAGGCUUUAGGUCUGGGGCAGGCUGAAGUGCAGCUGUGUUGGGCCUGGGGUGCCCGGGGGUCUUUCUCUGCCUGGGAUUCUAUUAUAGGUGGGGUCUUUGCUCCCCUUGGAGUCAUGGAGUGGAGGGAAUCCCUUUCCCUAGCAAGUAGUCUCCUGGCUCAGCCCAGAUGUACUAGUUGAAGAAUCUGAUUUGUUCCCUGCCUGCUGCUUCAUCCUGAGUCUGGAGCCUCUUUCCCAUCCAGUCUCUCCCCAGUCCCAACUUCUUCCAGAAGCUUUCAUGGUGCUUCAGCCCAUCCACCAUGACAAACUCUUCACCCUGACAGUCUAGGACUUGGAAGCAAAGAGUUUAGCAAAGUGUCUUCUCUGUGAACCAGCCUCUGUGUUUGCACCUGUGAUGUUUUCUUAGGGUAAGUGCUGAGGGGAGGGUGCCUGUUUGAGUGCUGCUAAUGGUGCUCAGAACAUUCUAGGUACUUAGUGAUUCGAUGGUACCCUCAGGGACUGAGGUUCUCUCUCAUUUCCUGAAGGGCUGGAAGGCUCACAAAACUCUCACAAGACUGCCACUGGCUGACAGUUUUCCCUUGCUCUCCUGGAACCUGACCGCUGAACCGGCUGUCCCAUCGUAUCUGAUGCCUGGGUUCACUCAGCCGCUGGGAUCUAGGAAGCCCAGUUCAGUAGUGGUUGAACUGUUUACAGCCCAUGAAUAUCUUCAGUUUGGCAAAAGACCAGGGACCUGCUUCUCCUGCCAGGGUCAGUCAGCAGCACUUCAGCUAAUCACCCUGUGUAUGGACAUAGUAUUUUCUAGAUUGCAAAGCACUUACACAUGCAUCGGCUUGCCUUCUCAUCUUUCUACUAAUCCUGUGAGCUAAGCAGGGCAACUAUGAUUUCCAUUUUAGAAACAGACUGAGAAGUGGAGUGAUAACUGGUUGGCUUCAAAGAAUUGGAAACCAGGACUCACUACUAGACCUCAGGGCUAAAGGAGAAAGCAAGCGGCACAUGGCCCAAUCUUAACCUAAAGAUCCCAGAGCAUAAAUUGAGAGAAACCAGAUAACGUGGGACAAUGAAGGGAUAUUGGGUUCCCAGGGCCAAGGGAGGUAUGUGAUGUAGGCAUACAGGGGAGAGAUUCCUCACAAUGAAUGAAGCUGAGAGAGAGAAGAGAAGGUAGCUAGACCCCAGCCCUGCAAAAACAAAACAGAACAAGUAACCCUUACAUUAGGAAUACUAUUUACAGCUUAAUAAGGCCAUUUUGGACAGAAAGAUAAAGACAGAAAAAAAUGCAUGAAUACAUUCUAAAUAAUAAUAACAGAUCUGUGAAUGUACAGAGUGUUAAGUAAGCAUUAAAAUAGGCAACAAUUUAUCUAACUUGAUUUUAUUUUUUUGUGGCAAGAAGUAUACAUAUUUUUAUUUCUUGCAAAGGUCUUUAUAAGUUAAUUUCCUUAUAAGUUAAUUUCCCUUCUCAAAUAAGAAUAAUAACAGGGACUGCUGUAUUUUGAGAUUAAUCUGUAUUUUAAACUGGAAUUUUCCUGCUGCAGUAAUUAUAUUUGCUGUUCCAUUAGUUCACACUUGAUGGUCUGUUGACAUUAGUGUUCCCUGAAAAGCUUCUUGAUGGAUUAUUAUUAUGUUUCCGUUCUGCCCAGGCGACAAACCCACUUAUUUUCUUCUCUGUUGUCAUCUGGCCUUUUCCCUUUUCUUUCUUUCUCUCUCUCUCUUUCUUUCUCUUCCUUCCUUCCUUCCUUCCUUUCUUUCUUUUCUUUCUUUCUUUCUCCUUCCUUUCUCUCUCUCUCCCUCUCCCCUCUCUCUCUUUCUUUCUUUCUUUGCCAUGACCACAGCAUGUGGAAGUUCUUGGGUCAGAAAUUGAACCCGCACCACAGCAACAACCACUGCAGACUAUCUAACUUUAAAUAUCAGGGAGGACAGCUGUGACUUUCUGCAGAAGACAUGACUCAGCUGAAAACGUUGACUUUGGGACCAUGAGCCUUGGGUUCAAAAGCCCACUUGCUAGUGAUGGGACCUUGGACAAGUCAGUAAGUCCUCUUGGGCUUUAUUUUUCCUUUCUGUUGUGUGAGGAGGAUAACGAAAACCUCAAAGGCUAUGGUAAAGAUUGAGUGAAUUAUCUAAGUGAAACCAACUGCCAGUGUGUGUUAGGGCCCUGGGUUUCUCCUCUAUUCAAACAUUAUUGUCCCCAUGGGCGGUAAAAGCAUCUUGAGUUGUAUGUUUCAAGGAUUUGGUCCAGAGGCACUUGCACAAGGCCAUUGUGUCCACUGAGCACUAUAGAUUCGGUGCCUCAGGGGUACAGCUUUAUGGGGAACAGUGGGAAUGUUUGGGAAACAAAAAGAAAUGUAUUGAUUUCAAAAUAUGACAAGAAAAUUGGAAAAUCAAAACUGAUGAACCCUUCAUUAAAUGCCUACAAAACAUUGUAUCAGCUGCUAUUUAUUCUCUUAACUGCUUCUAGCUCUUACGUAGCCAUAUAGAAGUUGAAUUUAAUGUGGAAUGUGGGUAAAUGAAACAUUUUUGACCUGAUGUGGGUUGAGGACUUAGGGACACGGACCUAUACAUUUCUUAAAACAUUUCCACUCCUAUGGUGCAGUCACGGAAUCCCUAAGGAGGAGCCUGGCGUGGUGUGACAGAUGAGGCUGUCUGAGGGGCUUGUCAGUCCUGACCUGUUGCUCUUCUUCAACAGCUAGAUCAGAGGGCAAAGGAUGAGGCUGGCAGAGGAUGGAGAAUGGCUUGGAGAAAGGAUUCUCUGGAUUCUUUCUCAUCAGUGGAUACUCUUUGACGUCUGAGUCAUAAGGCAAUUAACAAUUUGAAUUUGACGUAUACUUUAUUUUAAAAGUCUAGCAGUAUCCAUCGAUCCUUUCCAGGUGCAGUGAGAGCCCCAGAAAAAGAAAAAACGCAGUGUAUGUUGGCAAUAGGAGGGGAUAUUCAUAUUACAUUCUAUUUCUUCUUAUUUACUACAUGAAUGCUUAUUGAAAAAUAUCCUUCACUUGUGUUAAGGCUCUGCCUUCUUUGGUAAAGACAGGGAGUGCUGGACAGAGCUGGGAGAUAAACAGAAGUGUCUGUGUGCUAUAGAAAGAAAAGAAAAUGCUUCAGUAGGAGCUUGGCGCGCCCAGGGAUGGUUUUGAUAUCCAGCAAUUAAGCAAUUAAGGUCAAGCUUAUGCCUCCCAGAAUCACUGCAUUAAAGCAAAGGUAAUUUUAGGAACCCAGGAGGGUGAAUAUUAGAUUGCUCACCAGAC
rnacentral:lncRNA from 1 species